CUGUCCAUCCAGCUCUCAUUCUCAUUUCCAAAGAGCCCUCUUUCCGUUGCCACUGCUGUCCGCAAUUUGUGGCACCGCAUCCCUUGCUAAAUUAAAAUAAUUGGAGGGAAAUGCAAAAAGCAGCCCGCAAAUGGGCCUGAGAGGUGGCUAAAAGCCUCUUGCCUCGGAUCGGCAGAGCCUCCUCCUCGAAUGAGGCUCCCUGUAAUGGAUGCUCUUUCCUCCCUUUUCUCUCUGCCUCCGUUCUAUUACAGGAAAGACCUGCAGGUAGUUUGGAGAAAGGGCAUCUGGUGAUUAUCAUGCAUUUGUCUGCGACAUGAAGAGCCGUGUCUGGGAUUCGGCCGCCGAGCUGUAAUGCCGGCAAACAAUUUCACGGGAAAAUCAGGCAGCGGAAAGGAGGGAAAUGCGGCCUUCGAGGCCAAAGGCAAGCUACUCCAGCUCUCUGCCAUGCGUGCCAAACAAAAUGGAGAAGGGAGCAAAGCAGAUACAAAGCACAGAAGGCCACGGAGGUACGGUACUCAUUUUGCAAAGCAAGGAUAAGACCCUGGAUCUUCUGCAGAGGAUCAAGUCUAGUCAAAGGAGUCAACCUUCUCAUUUAUGCGGCAGGAUUCAUGUGGUUGCCAUCCCAGAUUCACAUUCCCCUUGGUAAACGCCAACAGUCGAUGUACAGGCAUUUCCUUGCAGAGUAUAUGGUGAAAUAAAGACAAGCUGAUCCAUCUACCCAGAAAACUGAUGGUGAACUUCUCACCUUAAAAGUUGAACCUUUUUUGUUUAUUUCAGUAAGUAGAGUGCCUGAAUAUACCUUGUUGUAAUCUUUUUGUAAACUUUCUUUACAAAUUGCUGGUUUGCAAGUUUAUAUUUAUGAUGUAUAUUAUUUGUAGACCCAACCGCCUGACAAAGACUCCUGUGAGUCGAAACCGGUUGCAGGUUUCAGUCAAGUUAUAUGGAAACUGGAGUCUACUCAUAUACAAUAAAGAACAGGACAUUUACUCACAUGAAAAACUUGUCCUUAUACUUCAAGAGAAGGAUCACUGAUUUCUACUUAUAUACGAUUGGGACAGUCCUGUUUGUUUUGGAUAUACAUUGAGUUUAUGUGAUUUUUUUUGUAUACACAUUGAGUUCGUUUGAUUAUUUUCAUAUCACCACAAGCAAUGGAUUUUGGUCUUCAUAGUUUAUGGGAACCCAUUGUCCUUUUAAAUGACUGCAUGGAGCGCUGUUACCUUCCUACCAGAGUAGUACCUAUUGAUCUACCUACAUAUUGGUGGCUGCCAAUAUGCUACCGAGCCCAAUUCAAAGUGCUGGUUUUGGCCUACAAAGCCCUAAACGGUUCCGGUCCAACUUACCUAUCCGAACGUAUCUCCUCCUAUGAGCCCAUGAGAACUUUAAGAUCAUCUGGGGAGGCCCUGCUCUCAGUCCCACCUGCCUCACAAGUGCGGCUGGUGGGAACGAGGGACAGAGCCUUCUCGGUGGUGGCUCCUCGGCUGUGGAACUCCCUCCCCAGUGACAUCCGGCAGGCUCCAUCCCUUCUGAGUUUCAGAAAAAAGGUAAAGACCUGGCUUUGCGAACAAGCGUUUAAUGAAUGAAUUAUGAUGGCUUUAACUCGGUCCGGACUAAGGUUUACGUGCAAGGUUUAUGUGGACGAAUGGAUUAAGUAUUUUAUUAUACUGUUUUAAAUGUAUUUAUUGGAUUGUUUUAAAUUGAUUGUUUUAAUUGCUAUGUUUUAUUUUUCUACUGUAUUGUGAGCCACCCUGAGUCCCUUCGGGUGAGAAGGGCGGCAUAUAAAUGAUGGAAAUAAAUAAAUAAAUAAAUAAAUACAUAAAUA